rnacentral:rRNA from 1 species
GCCGCGUGAAUGAUGAAGGCCUUCGGGUCGUAAAAUUCUGUCCUUUGGGAAGAACACUUUAGUUGCUAAUACCAGCUAAGGUUGACGGUACCUUUGGAGGAAGCUCUGGCUAACUACGUGCCAGCAGCCGCGGUAAUACGUAGAGAGCAAGCGUUGUCCGGAAUCAUUGGGCGUAAAGGGUACGCAGGCGGUCUAUUAAGUCAGAGGUGAAAUCCAACAGCUCAACUGUUGAACUGCCUUUGAUACUGGUAGACUUGAGGAUAAGAGAAGAAAACGGAAUUCCUAGUGUAGCGGUGAAAUGCGUAGAUAUUAGGAAGAAUACCAAUGGCGAAAGCAGUUUUCUAACUUA